AACGAACGCUGGCGGCAUGCCUAACACAUGCAAGUCGAACGAGACCUUCGGGUCUAGUGGCGCACGGGUGCGUAACGCGUGGGAACCUGCCCUUAGGUUCGGAAUAACUCCCCGAAAGGGGUGCUAAUACCGGAUAAUGUCUUCGGACCAAAGAUUUAUCGCCUUUGGAUGGGCCCGCGUUGGAUUAGCUAGUUGGUAGGGUAAAAGCCUACCAAGGCGACGAUCCAUAGCUGGUCUGAGAGGAUGAUCAGCCACACUGGGACUGAGACACGGCCCAGACUCCUACGGGAGGCAGCAGUGGGGAAUAUUGGACAAUGGGCGAAAGCCUGAUCCAGCAAUGCCGCGUGAGUGAUGAAGGCCUUAGGGUUGUAAAGCUCUUUUAACCGGGAUGAUAAUGACAGUACCGGGAGAAUAAGCGCCGGCUAACUCCGCG
rnacentral:rRNA from 1 species